rnacentral:misc_RNA from 1 species
GGGGUUUUGUGAUUUUUAUUGGAGUUGAUUUCUGCUUCAACAGUCUUGGCCUUUUUUGGGGUUCAUCUGUUUCUCUCUUUUCCUUACCUUUAUAGCCUAACACAUCUUGCUUUUCCCAUAAUUCUUGUCUACUGUCCCUCCAGUUUUCAGUGAUGCCAAAUUUAGAAAUAAUUCAAAUCCAAAUUUCAAGAAUUGUUCUAGAAAAUCCUUGCUUUUAGAGAUUGGCUUAUAGGUUAGCCU